UUUUUUUAAGAGUUUGAUCCUAGCUCAGGAUGAACGCUGGCGACGUGGAUAAGGCAUGCAAGUCAAGGGG
rnacentral:rRNA from 1 species